GCCAGAAAUGGUGGCACAUGCCUGUAAUCCCAGCUCCUUGGGAGGCUGAGGCAGGAGGAUCACAAGUUCAAGGCCAGCCUCAGCAAUUUAGCAAGAUCCUGUCUCAA
rnacentral:sRNA from 1 species